rnacentral:tRNA from 1 species
CCGUAGCUCAACUGGAUAGAGCGUCUGACUUCGGAUCAGAAGGUUAAGGGUUCGAAUCCUUUCGG